rnacentral:rRNA from 1 species
UACCAGCACCCCGAGUGGGUCGGGACGUUUUAUUGGGCCUAAAGCAUCCGUAGCCGGUUCUACAAGUCUUCCGUUAAAUCCACCUGCUCAACAGAUGGGCUGCGGAAGAUACUAUGGAGCUAGGAGGCGGGAGAGGCAAGCGGUACUCGAUGGGUAGGGGUAAAAUCCGUUGAUCCAUUGAAGAACACCAGUGGCGAAGGCGACUUACUGGACUGUAACUGACGCUGAGGAGCGAAAGCGUGGGGAGCGAACAGG